CAGUAGCCGCGGUAAUACGAAGGGGGCUAGCGUUGUUCGGAAUUACUGGGCGUAAAGCGCACGUAGGCGGACAUUUAAGUCAGGGGUGAAAUCCCGGGGCUCAACCCAGGAACUGCCUUUGAUACUGGGUGUCUAGAGUAUGGAAGAGGUGAGUGGAAUUCCGAGUGUAGAGGUGAAAUUCGUAGAUAUUCGGAGGAACACCAGUGGCGAAGGCGGCUCACUGGUCCAUUACUGACGCUGAGGUGCGAAAGCGUGGGGAGCAAACAGGAUUAGAUACCCCAGUAGUCCCUGUCUCUUAUAC
rnacentral:rRNA from 1 species